UACGGGGGGAGCAAGCGUUGUUCGGAUUUACUGGGCGUAAAGGGCGCGUAGGCGGUCAGCACAAGUCAGUUGUGAAAUCUCCGAGCUUAACUCGGAACGGUCAACUGAUACUGUGCGGCUAGAGUGCGGAAGGGGCAACUGGAAUUCUUGGUGUAGCGGUGAAAUGCGUAGAUAUCAAGAGGAACACCUGCGGCGAAGGCGGGUUGCUGGGCCGACACUGACGCUGAGGCGCGAAAGCCAGGGGAGCGAACGGG
rnacentral:rRNA from 1 species